GGAAGGCAUUCGUAUCCGGUGGUACGGCCAGGCUUCAAACCUGGUUGGGGGCGUCAGCCGCUCCCGGGUCAGUUCGACUCUGGCUGCCUUCCG
rnacentral:tRNA from 1 species